UGGGCUUAUACAAUAGUUUCUGGUCAACAAUGGAAUUAUCAUGCUGGAGAAACAAUUGAAGCAACAAUCUAAUUGAUGGUGACUUCAUUUUUUCUUUUUCAAUUAUCGUAGGAGUCAGUAGAACUAGAAACUCUUUAAGAUAUUGAUGAUAUGUGAGGUUUGUAAUACUCCGUAUUUUUGGAGUUAUUUAUUUAUAAUUAAGAAAAUAUUAAGAGUAUAAUUGAAAGGUAUUUUAGUAUUAUUUACAAAAAAAUAAUAAUAGAAUAAUAAUAAUAUAGUUCGAUUUAGUUAAUUUCGGUAUUUAAAAGAUUAAAUCGAGUCCUACUAGACAUAGAGUUGCAACACUAUAAAUAGAGAGAAAUAGAAAAAAAAAUCAGAAAAAAAAUAUAAACCCUAAUUCUCUCACCUUCUUCAACCGUUUUUUUUCCUCCCUCAAAAAUUUUCUCUCUCCUCUCUUCUUCUCCCUCGUCACUCUUCUUCAUCCUCCUUCACACUAUCUCUUCUCCGCCGCCCUGAACUUGUGUCAUUCUUCGAGAGAUGUGCGAGAAUCCGAGCGGUUGAGCGGUUGAGUGCUAGGUGUGCGAUGCUGUGUGUGCGUGCGUGCGUGGUAUGUAGGAUCGCGAGGCUUCGUGUGCCGUGAUGUACGAGCCGGUGUGUGCUUGUUGUGCAAGGUACGCCGUCGAGACGAGCGAGAUUGUCGAGCGAGGGAGAUUCGUCGAGUCGUGAUGAGCGGGCCGACGUGUGUUGCGGUUGUGCGAGUGUUCGACGAAGUCGCGUUGUGCGACGAAUCCAGGUGUGGGCGAAGCAACGUCGCUGCUGUGGUGUGCAAGUCGCGCUUAGGGUCGUGUGCGAGUCGCGCGAGGGUCGGUGCGUGCAUGCGAGCAGUGCGAAGUGUGGAUGCGUGGUGAGCGAGGGCCGCCGGAAUUCGGUUGCCGGUGAUUUUCGCCGGCAAGUUUAGCGACUAGGUGUACUGGUGCUGCUGCAUGAUAUCGAGCAUACUGGGGAUAGUCAUUAGCAUUUGAACUUUAAAGCAUUUUGACUAAGUACUAUUAGAUUUCUACGAUUUACGUAAGUGGUUUGUGGUUUGAAUAAAAGGGGUCGUUGAUGAUUCCCAAGUUGUAGUUACAUUUUUAUUUCCGCUGCAUUUCAGUUUUCGAGACAAUGAUUUGAGUUAACGUUCUUUCUUAUUA